AAGCGCAGGACACGCUCUUAACUCGCAGGCGGGACCAGGGACAGUCGGUGCCCAGGCCGGGGCCGCUGAGCGUGUCACUCGGACACCGAAGGGGGGGGUCUCCGUCUAAUUAGGGAGAGAUUGUGUCCAGGGCUUGACGUGGAACAUUCACUUACAGAGCUGUACAUUUUUAGAUUGAAGUGGCUUUUAAAGAUCGCCCCGUCCAACGCCCUCACUUUAUUUUUCAGAAGAUUUUAUGUAUUUAUUCAUGAGACACCGAGAGAGAGGGAGGCGGAGACCCAGGCAGAGGGACAAGCAGGCUCCCCGUGGGGCCCGAUGCGGGACUCGAUCCCGGGGCCUGGGGUCACGCCCUGGGCCCAAGGGGAGCCCCCACGGCCCCCAACAGCGUUGCAGUGACAUCGGCCUUGGCACUUGGGUCACUGGUGAGGAUGGGCCAACACGUGGCGGCGCAGGACAGAGAGCGGCGGAUCCCAGCGAUCCGGUGGCUUAGGACCUGCUUGCUGCUGGGCGACGUCAGUGACACUUGUCCGGGCUGUGGAUUCUCUUGGAGUCCUGGAUCGUGGGAGCAAGACCCUGAGGACUAACGUCCAGAUCACAGCAAGAGGAUCCCCCCUUUGCUGAAUUAUCAUCUGCAGAUUGAGGUCAACGGUGAACCUUCAGGACACAUCGUCGUGAGGUCUCUUGGCACCAGUUCAUAUCCACAGUCAGGAUUGCAGAUCUAAGCUAAUAAGCUUAGCUUUGGACAACACACAGAUUGUGUGUGUGUGUGAGAGAGAGAGCCUGUAAUUUAUGACCACUUCUCAGAAAUGAGACCACUGCACACUUGCUCUACAGCGUAGCUUUGAUAAGCACUGCUGCUCUUAUCACGUGGCCUCUUUUGGGUAUAAUGUGAUCUCAGAAGAAUGAAGAAGGGCAUACAACAUCAAAAAGCAGACAAAACAGCUUUUGUCUUCAUAUAUUAGCAUGUUUCUUAAUCUCUAUAAAUAAUUUUUCGACUGGCAUAAAAUAUACUGAGUUAAGCUGGGUAUUCUUAGGAAAUGAGGUCAGGAAUUGGGGUAAAGACAAAGAAAGAAAAGGAAGGAAGGAAGGAAGGAAGGAAGAAGAAAGAGGGAAAGGAAAGGAAAGGAAAGGAAAGGAAAGGAAAGGAAAGGAAAGGAAUUUGUUUCUUUUUAUUGUGCAAUUAUCCACAAUCACAUUAACUCAUGCCAUUUAUUUCUUCAGUCAUUCAAUCAAUAUUUAUUGAACGGACUGAUCCAGCAGUGAACAAAGCUUAUGUUUUGAACUCUUGGGGUUUAUGUUUUUAGUGGGAGAGGCAGGAAGGAAAUAGAAAGUUGACCAGGUGCUAGUAAACACUAGGAGGAAAAGUAAGCCGGAGAAAGGUACCUGGCUUUUAGGUAUUUUAGGUAUUUCGGUCGCAUCCUCGCCGCAGGAGGAUUGUGACCCGAGCUGGAGCUGCAAGCGGCGCUAAGUGAAAUAAACAAAUGAAUAGCGCGAGCUCUGAAGGGGGGACUGUUUGCUUCACAAAGGUGUGGGCUUGGUGUGUAAAGGCGAGGGGAGAGGGCCAGGUUGGCUGCAGAGAGUGAGGGAGGGAACGUGGGGGUGAGAUGGGGCAAGUGGGCGCGGGACUUGGCGCAGACCCUGCAGAGUAGCGGGGGCCAAUCGUGCCUUGCCCUCUGGGCCAAGGGAAAGGUUAAGGGUCUUGCUGAAGAACAUGUGAAGUCAUGGAGGAUUUGGAGUAGAGGAAAACUCAGCUGUACUAUGUGCAAGAAAACACCACUUGUAAGUGCUCAGUAGUGUGGCUAUGUCCGUAUCCUUGUACAGCAGAUCUCUGGCUGUUUGUCACCUUGCAAGAUUGAAACUUUAUACUCAUUGAACAGCGACUCCCAUUUGCCCCCUCCCCUAGCCCUUGGCAACCAGUGUUCUACGUUAUUUUUCUGUGAGUUUGACUAUUUUAGAUGCCCCCUUCUAAAUGGAAUCAUCCAGUACUGGUCAUUUUGUGACAGGUUGAUUUCACUCUGAUGUGACUUUUAUAUUUUUGACUUAAUUACGAUGUCAGCUCUAAUGCUGUAGCUUCGAUGUGGAGGGAAUGUAGACGAAGGGAAGGGCAAAGGAGGAAGCAGAGAUACAAGUUUUGAAGCUGUUUUUGUCCUACAGGCAAUAGAUGAUGGUGCGUUGAACAUGGGCUGAAAGAGUGGAGGUAGAUAGACGCUGGGUAGAUUUUUAAGGUAACGCCUGGGAGAUUUGCUGAUAUUUUGGAUGCGUUAGGUGACAGAAAGAGGAAAAGGACAUGAAUUAUAGGGUGAAUCAUCCAAAUGAUUUAAUCAUCAAUCCCUUCCCCGUCAUGGGGGAUCAUCCUUGUAAGACCUCCUCAAAUGCUGCGCUUCUUCUCUAAACACGUGCUGAUGCCCAAUCAGCCGAUUAGAUGGCUCAGGGUUAUAGUGUGAUCUUCCGUUUGUAUAUAGGUGCUUUUUAGUAGAGGCGUGGAUGGCAUAAAACCUAAGGUGUGGGUAUGUCAGGAGAAGGGGUUCGGGAGAUCUGGGCGGGUUGGGCAACGAGGAACAUUUCCGGGAAGAGGACAAGACUGUCUGAUGGUCCGUCGGCUCCAGGGCACCAAGUAUUUCAGAACAGUCUCGAUGCUGUGCUGUAAACUGCCUCCUUCGGAGGUCUGCUCAGUGCUGCGUGAGUGUGGGAUGAGUGGUAGGGACUCGAGACCUCGUGAAACCGAAGACCUGGAGUGAGUAGGGAGGCUGAAAGGGAAGAAUCAUACUUUUUCAUUUUUAGAUUCUAGAGGCAAAAGGAAAAAAGAAUUCAAUAAACAGAUUUUUUUUUUAAGCUAGAUGUAUAGAGUAGCCGUUGAGGGAUGUCUCUAGGUGUUUAGAAGUCAUUGCUUCCUGGCUACAACUACGUAAUGAAAAACCACUUAUGGACAGCGUGAGAUUUUUUUACAAAUUUGGUUGUUUGUGGCAGGCCGCUUCCCUUAGGGCCGCUCUCCGAGGUCUGCUGCAGGGACACGGGGGCUCCCAGGCCGUGCUUCUCUUGCUAAUGUUGGGGCCUGUAGUUCCUUGACCGACAAGAGGAGAGGCUGAGUGUGUCGAGGAGCCGCAUGUUGGCCACGUGUACUUCUUCUGACCGUUCUUAAAGCUCGGCAGGCGGAUUUCUGUAAGUAGCCGAGAAGGCACCCAGUGCAGUUGCACUUUGCCGGACCCAGUCUGUAGGACUGACAGCGCGCCCUGCACAGAUUCCUCCAGUAGAUAAUUAGAUCAGUGUAACGCAAGCGCUGCAUGAAUUAACAUUUGCACUUGGGUAUGAAUAUUCAGGGCUGCGGUGCCUUCGGUGGUGUGAGUUGUGCCAGGAUGCGCAGCGGUGCCUGAUAGGUGCUUGUACGGUAUUAAUUAGUACAGAAUGGCACCAAUUAGAGGGUCUGGAAACAUCCCUGGAGUCGGAGACGAUAUGCGCGUGGGUGGUGCUUCUCCUCUUCCCGUAAACUCUAACCCAGACAACAGAUUGCCUGCUUUAACUAGUCCUGUGCUUCAGUUUUGAUGCGGAUUUUACGUCACGGUGCAGAAACUACUAAGUUUCCCGGCCUUUCCUGGAAUGAUGCCAUCUGCUCGUUUCUCCACUCUCUCUGAGAUUUUUCACCUGGAAGAUUAACCCGAAAGAUCAUAUGCUCUACAUGUUAUAAAUAAAUAAUUGAAUAAAUAAAUAAAUAAAAGAAUCAUUGGGCCACUGAAACCUGCUUUUCAUAGUGAUAAAAAUUGCUCUGGCACAGCUUGCUGGAGCAUCAGGUGUUGGUUCAAAACUUUAUUUGCAUUUAUUUGGAAGUUUCAAAGAACUUUAUGCUAUUAUCAAGAUCAUCUCCGAGACAAUGAAAACCUCCUCAUGCCUACCUCCAGGGUAAACCUGGUCAGGGGCCUCGGACGUGGAGAGAGGGAUUGGAUAGCUGAGAACGGAUCAAGUUAGUAUCUCUGUAUGAUGCUUUUAAAAGGGGAAUAUGAUUCUAAAAAUACCUCAAAAGCAAAAUUUUCUGAAAACUGGAAGAGGUUGUGUAACGUGGCGGUAAACGGAGGGAACUCUGAGGCCAGAAUGGCUGGGCAGGAGCCCAGCUGUCCCUUAGCUCGUGAGCUGCGUGACCUGGGGUAAGUGACCUCACCUUCAGUUCUGUCACCUGUGCGCGCUCGCGGCUCAUGAGUGCACGGAAAGCAUAGACAGCUUGAAAGGGUGUUUGCUGAAGUGUGUAGAACACUGAAUGUACACUUGAAAAUAUUUCCAGUGCUUGUCCCUGGCCAGAGGUGACCACGGUUCGCCCAGUGGAGCCAGCUUCCGAGGGCCUUGGCUUCCCCGAGCCGCCGGACCGCCGCGUGCUGUGAAGGCCAGGGGGCUCCAGCUGGAGGCCAGCAUCACUCUGCUCCUAAAUUGUUCUCUUUAGGCUUAUAUGUGCAAGCAGAAAAAAAAAAAUUUUUUCUCUCCCAAGUAUAAAUCAGCUAGGAUUUUCCUAGUUUCCUUGCUUUCUGACUUUAAUUUUUCCACUUUGCAAAUUGAAGUUAUGAAAUAUAAAGCAAGAUUAGCAUCUUAUGAAUUUCCAGAAUUUCCUAUAAAUAAUUAGGGUACUGCAUAUAUUUCAAUAUAUGCAAUAUAUUACAGUCUGCAAUGUUGGAGAAGUAGGAAAUAUAUUAUUAAAGAGAAAUAUGAGAUUUCAUAAUCAGCUGUUUUAAAAUUUAGGAUUUGUAAUUGCCUUACUGUUGGGGGCCUGAAAAAAAUCUACUGGGUGCUCUGCUCUGCCGACUUCAUUAAAAUGCCAGGUUAAGGAGUAAUUGUUUUUUUUUUUUUUAAAGAUUUUAUUUAUUUAUUCAUGAGAGACAGAGAGAGAGAGAGAGGGAGAGAGAGAGAGGCAGAGACACAGGCAGAGGGAGAAGCAGGCUCCAUGCAGGGAGCCGAACACGGGACUCGAUCCCAGGUCUCCAGGAUCACACCCUGGGCAGAAGGCAGGGCUAAACUGCUGAGCCACCCAGGGAUCCCAGGAGUAAUUAUUUUUGUAGGAAACUUUAUUGAAGUCAUACAUUUUGGCAUGAUACUGCCUUGAGUAUUUUAAGGGGAUAAUUUUCUCCUAAGAAUCGAUGAUCUUACAGUUAAAUUUCAACAUCUAAAAAAACCCAAAAGAGUGAUCAACAAAAAGAAUUCAAAAAGUUGGAACAAAUGAAGUCACCCAUUUGUUUCUCACCAAAAAUAUGUGCCUUUUCCUGCUGCUCCGGUUUCAUUAACACUAAGCGGGAGAACAGAUAGUAUAAUUGACAGUGAAGUCUGUUACUUAAGAUUCUGCCUUUCACAUGGGCGUGUGGGAUGUGCGUUAUGCAUUAGUAGUUGUCACUAUUGUUCUUAAGUGCACAUUCCCCAGCAUCUAGCAUUGGCUUCCCAGCUCUCAUUUUGGCUUUUUUAUUUUUCUCUGCAAUUUAUUUCCCAAGGUGCGUCCUCAUGCCUAAGUUAAAAGUUGUUUUUUUAAAGAAACUCAAGGCGCAAACGUGCAGCUGAAACUAUCUUUACCCAAGAUCUACUUGAAAAGUUCUGCGUCUGAAACUUUGAGAAGUUUUAUGGAGCAUGAACGACCGAGUCGAAAAUUAUGUGAGAAGGUUACAAAAUAACAUACUAAUUUCCCAUCGAAUCGCCUUAUGUUUUCCUGUAGAAGAUGUAGAGGUUGAAGCAGGUACAUCUUCCAGACCUGAGACCAGAAGCACGUCGCGCUGCGAGGAACCCACGAGGCCCCGGGACACGGCCU